UGCAAACCAACAACGUUGUCAGAGUAAAGUUCAAAGACAGCAAGAAAUAUAUUUUCUCUUCACAACCAUUUCACACAUUUUUUGAAUGUGUUGCCAAGAAGUUUAAUCUUUCUACAAUGAAUGUCUUUGCUGACUUAAAGACAGAGGUUGAUGAGGAAUAAUAUCUGCUGACAUGACCAGACUUUGGUGUCCUAGAAAUCUUCAUCCCAGAAAGCACAACAAGCCUUGAUGAUUAUUUAUCUAAUACUGAGGGCACGUCAGAGUCUGAUGGGACCGCAGUGUUGAUUAGAAAUCCUCCUGAAAAAAAUCAAGCCGAGG